GACAGAGGGUGCAAACGUUGUUCGGAAUUACUGGGCGUAAAGGGCGCGUAGGCGGCCUUCUAAGUCAGACGUGAAAUCCCUCGGCUCAACCGGGGAACUGCGUCUGAGACUGGAAGGCUUGAAUUCGGGAGAGGGAUGUGGAAUUCCAGGUGUAGCGGUGAAAUGCGUAGAUAUCUGGAGGAACACCGGUGGCGAAGGCGGCAUCCUGGACCGAGAUUGACGCUGAGGCGCGAAAGCCAGGGGAGCAAACGGG
rnacentral:rRNA from 1 species